rnacentral:rRNA from 1 species
ACGGGUGCGUAACACGUGAACAAUCUGCCGAGAAGUGGGGGAUAGCUUGCCGAAAGGCAAAUUAAUACCGCAUAUGGCCAUUCUUCGAUUGAAGGAAAAGCCAAAGUAGCAAUACGCUUCUUGAUGAGUUCGCGGCCUAUCAGCUAGAUGGCGGGGUAACGGCCCACCAUGGCUAUGACGGGUAGCUGGUCUGAGAGGACGACCAGCCACACAGGAACUGAGACACGGUCCAGACACCUACGGGUGGCAGCAGUCGAGAAUUUUUCACAAUGGGGGAAACCCUGAUGGAGCGACGCCGCGUGGAGGAUGAAGGCCUUCGGGUCGUAAACUCCUGUCAUGCGGGAACAAGAAAGUGAUAGUACCGCAAGAGGAAGAGACGGCUAACUCUGUGCCAGCAGCCGCGGUAAUACAGAGGUCUCAAGCGUUGUUCGGAUUCAUUGGGCGUAAAGGGUGCGUAGGUGGUGACGUAAGUCUAAUGUGAAAUCUCGGGGCUUAACCCCGAAAUUGCAUCGGAUACUGCGUGACUAGAGGAUUGUAGAGGAGAUUGGAAUUCACGGUGUAGCAGUGAAAUGCGUAGA